GGGCGGGUAGCCUAGCCAGGAUAGGGCGCAGGCCUCCGGAGCCUGUGAGGAGGGUUCAAAUCCCUCCCCGCCCGCCA
rnacentral:tRNA from 1 species